GAUGAACGCUGGCGGCGUGCCUAACACAUGCAAGUCGAGCGGCAGCGCACCCUUCGGGGUGGCGGCGAGCGGCGGACGGCUGAGUAACACGUGGGAAUGUACCCCAAAGUGAGGAAUAACUGCCCGAAAGGGUAGCUAAUGCCGCAUAUGCUCUUCGGAGUAAAGGCUUCGGCCGCUUUGGGAACAGCCCGCGUACGAUUAGAUAGUUGGUGAGGUAAAGGCUCACCAAGUCGACGAUCGUUAGCUGGUCUGAGAGGAUGACCAGCCAGACUGGAACUGAGACACGGUCCAGACUCCUACGGGAGGCAGCAGUGAGGAAUCUUCCACAAUGGGCGAAAGCCUGAUGGAGCAACGCCGCGUGCAGGAUGAAGGCCUUCGGGUCGUAAACUGCUUUUAUGAGCGAAGAAUAUGACGGUAACUCAUGAAUAAGGGUCGGCUAACUACGUGCCAGCAGCCGCGGUCAUACGUAGGACCCAAGCGUUAUCCGGAUUUACUGGGUGUAAAGAGUUGCGUAGGUGGCUCGUAAAGUGAAUAGUGAAAGCUGGUCGCUCAACGAUCAAAACAUUAUUCAAACUCACGAGCUCGAGAGUGAUAGAGGUUACUAGAAUUUCUUGUGUAGGAGUGAAAUCCGUAGAUAUAAGAAGGAAUACCAAUGGCGUAGGCAGGUAACUAGAUCAUUUCUGACACUAAGGCACGAAAGCGUGGGGAGCGAACCGGAUUAGAUACCCGGGUAGUCCACGCCGUAAACUAUGGAUGCUAGCUGUCGGGGGUAUCGACCCCCUCGGUAGCGAAGCUAACGCGUUAAGCAUCCCACCUGUGGAGUACGAGCGCAAGCUUAAAACAUAAAGGAAUUGACGGGGACCCGCACAAGCGGUGGAUCAUGUUCUUUAAUUCGAUGAUAAACGAAGAACCUUACCAGGGUUUGACAUCCUUGGAAUCUUAGCGAAAGCUAGGAGUGCUUUAUUGAGCCAAGUGACAGGUGAUGCAUGGCCGUCGUCAGCUCGUGUCGUGAGAUGUUUGGUUAAGUCCAUCAACGAGCGCAACCCUUGUGAAUAGUUGUAUUUUUCUAUUCAGACUGCCCCGGCAACGGGGAGGAAGGAGGGGAUGAUGUCAGGUCAGUAUUUCCCUUACACCCUGGGCUAGAAACGUGAUACAAUGGCCGGUACAAUGCGCAGCAAACCCGCGAGGGGGAGCAAAUCGCAUCAAAGCCGGUCCCAGUUCGGAUAAGAGGCUGAAACUCGCCUCUUUGAAGUCGGAAUCGCUAGUAAUCGCAGAUCAGCAUGCUGCGGUGAAUACGUUCCCGGGUCU
rnacentral:rRNA from 1 species